rnacentral:rRNA from 1 species
UACAGAGGGGGCAAGCGUUGUUCGGAAUUACUGGGCGUAAAGGGCGCGUAGGUGGCCUUCUAAGUUGAACGUGAAAUCCCUGGGCUCAACCCAGGAACUGCGUCCAAGACUGGGAGGCUUGAAUCCGGGAGAGGGAUGCGGAAUUCCAGGUGUAGCGGUGAAAUUCGUAGAUAUCGGGAGGAACACCAGUGGCGAAGGCGCUGACCUGGACGAUGAUUGACGCUGAGGCGCGAAAGCGUGGGGAGCAAACAGG